rnacentral:rRNA from 1 species
AUUGAACGCUGGCGGCAUGCCUUACACAUGCAAGUCGAACGGCAGCACGGGAGCAAUCCUGGUGGCGAGCGGCGAACGGGUGAGUAAUAUAUCGGAACGUGCCCAGUCGUGGGGGAUAACGCAGCGGAAGCUGUGCUAAUACCGCAUACGAUCUAAGGAUGAAAGCGGGGGAUCGCAAGACCUCGCGCGAUUGGAGCGGCCGAUAUCAGAUUAGCUAGUUGGGGGGGUAAAGGCCCACCAAGGCGACGAUCUGUAGCUGGUCUGAGAGGACGACCAGCCACACUGGAACGGAGACACGGUCCAGACUCCUACGGGAGGCAGCAGUGGGGAAUUUUGGACAAUGGGCGCAAGCCUGAUCCAGCAAUGCCGCGUGCAGGAUGAAGGCCUUCGGGUUGUAAACUGCUUUUGUACGGAACGAAACGGCCCUUUCUAAUACAGGGGGCUAAUGACGGUACCGUAAGAAUAAGCACCGGCUAACUACGUGCCAGCCGCCGCGGUAA